rnacentral:rRNA from 1 species
AUUGAACGCUGGCGGAAUGCUUUACACAUGCAAGUCGAACGGUAGAGGGGGCAACCCCUCGAGAGUGGCGAACGGGUGAGUAAUAUAUCGGAACGUGCCCAGUCGUGGGGGAUAACGUAGCGAAAGUUACGCUAAUACCGCAUACGAUCUAAGGAUGAAAGCGGGGGAUCGCCAGACCUCGCGCGAUUGGAGCGGCCGAUAUCAGAUUAGGUAGUUGGUGGGGUAAAGGCACACCAAGCCAACGAUCUGUAGCUGGUCUGAGAGGACGACCAGCCACACUGGAACUGAGACACGGUCCAGACUCCUACGGGAGGCAGCAGUGGGGAAUUUUGGACAAUGGACGCAAGUCUGAUCUAGCCAUUCCGCGUGCAGGAUGAAGGCCCUCGGGUUGUAAACUGCUUUUGUACGGAACGAAAAGGUCUCUCUUAAUACGGGGGGCUCAUGACGGUACCGUAAGAAUAAGCACCGGCUAACUACGUGCCAGCCGCCGCUGUAA